CCUACGGGUGGCAGCAGUGAGGAAUAUUGGUCAAUGGCCGCAGGGCUGAACCAGCCAAGUCGCGUGAGGGAUGACGGUCCUAUGGAUUGUAAACCUCUUUUGUAAGGGAGCAAAGGGCGACACGUGGGGCGUUUUGAGAGUACCUGAAGAAAAAAGAACGGCGAACGCCGAGCCAGCAGCCGCGGUAAUACGGAGGAUGCGAGCGUUAACCGGAUUUAUUGGGUUUAAAGGGUGCGCAGGCGGAAUGUCAAGUCAGCGGUAAAAUUUCGGGGCUCAACCCAGUCGUGCCGUUGAUACUGGCGUUCUUGAGUGAGCGAGAGGUAGGCGGAAUGCGUGGUGUAGCGGUGAAAUGCAUAGAUAUCACGCAGAACUCCGAUUGCGAAGGCAGCAUACCGGCGCUCAACUGACGCUCAUGCACGAAAGCGUGGGUAUCGAACAGGAUUAGAUACCCCAGUAGUC
rnacentral:rRNA from 1 species